rnacentral:rRNA from 1 species
AAUGGGGGCAACCCUGAUCCAGCAAUGCCGCGUGCGUGAAGAAGGCCUUAGGGUUGUAAAGCGCUUUCACCCGUGAUGAUGAUGACGGUAGCGGGAGAAGAAGCCCCGGCUAACUCCGUGCCAGCAGCCGCGGUAAUACGGAGGGGGCGAGCGUUGUUCGGAAUUACUGGGCGUAAAGGGCGCGUAGGCGGCCCUAUCAGUCAGACGUGAAAGCCCCGGGCUCAACCUGGGAUGUGCGUUUGAUACUGUAGGGCUAGAGACCGGAAGAGGAUGGCGGAAUAUCCAGUGUAGAGGUGAAAUUCGUAGAUAUUGGAUGGAACACCAGUGGCGAAGGCGGCCAUCUGGUCCGGGUCUGACGCUGAGGCGCGAAAGCGUGGGGAGCAAACAGGAUU